rnacentral:lncRNA from 1 species
GAAGAUCAAGACCAAAACAUUUAUUACAAAAGGAUGCAGAUCUGGAAAAUAAUGGUGAUGAAGUGUUGGUUCAAAAAUACUUAAAAGUCCUCUGGGAAAUGUAUAUCCAUCUUCUCUCAAGUACACAUCUGCGGCUAUGGAAUAUCAGACAGACACAGAGCUCUUGCAGAGUUUCCCAGCCUCACGUGUUAACUCUACUUUUGCAAUUGGAACUGCAACAACAAAAUACUUCACAAGAUGAGAGCCAAAGUAAACGGAGCAGAACAAAUUGAAACUGCAGACAACAGUUUCCUUCCUUACAGCAGAUGGAUAACAGAAGAUGGCUCAGUAAGUGCUACAGAACUCCAUCAACCUUUAAACUAUUUAUAAAAAAAGAAUCAAAGACUUCAGGAAGAAGUAACUAAUUAUACUAUAGCAUCAUGCACAGAACUGAAGGAUGGUCUUCCCUCUUAUGCUCACUAUGUUAAUACUUAGCUCUGACUUUCUGUGUGUUUUGACAAGAGUAUUAUAUGGAAAUGAACAUCUUUUAUAUUGUAACAGAAACCAAAUGCAAUAUUACAAAUAAGAUGACAGCUAAGGAAAAGGUGUUUAAUUGUUUGGAUGGUAUAACUGCCUUCUUAUGCAAGCUUUGGUAACUGGAAAUCUAGUAUAGGUAGUCCUUGACUUAUGACCACAAUUGAGCCCAAAAUUUCUGUUGUUAACUGAGACAUUUGUUAAGCGAAUUUGGUCCCAUUUUUACACUUACAUUUUGGCCACAGUUGCUAAGUGAAUAACUGCAGCUGACAAGUUAGUAACCUGGUUGUUAAGUGAAUCUAGCUUCCCGUUUGACUUUGCUUGUCAGAAGGAUGCAAAAGAAGAUGAUCAUGUGACUCCAGGAUGCUGCAUAAGCAUGAACCAGUUGCCAAGCAGGCUGAAUUUUGAUCAUGUGACCAUGGGGAUGCUGCGAAGGUUGUAACUGUGAAAAACGGUCACUUUUUUUCAGUGCUGUGGUAACUUUGAAUGGUCACCAAAUGAACUGUUGUAAGUCAAGGACUACCUGUAUACAUUGAACACUAAUAAGUAUUCCAUAUGCAUUGACUGUUUUAUACCAUUUUAUUUUAGGCUAUACAGUAAUGUGAAAUGAAUCAUCAUUCUGUGUUAUUUUUAAUGAAUUUUUGUUCAUGUAACUGUUAUUU